GAACGAACGCUGGCGGCAUGCCUAACACAUGCAAGUCGAACGAGACCUUCGGGUCUAGUGGCGCACGGGUGCGUAACGCGUGGGAAUCUGCCCUUGGGUUCGGAAUAACAGCGAGAAAUUGCUGCUAAUACCGGAUGAUGACGUAAGUCCAAAGAUUUAUCGCCCAAGGAUGAGCCCGCGUAGGAUUAGCUAGUUGGUGAGGUAAAGGCUCACCCAAGGCGACGAUCCUUAGCUGGUCUGAGAGGAUGAUCAGCCACACUGGGACUGAGACACGGCCCAGACUCCUACGGGAGGCAGCAGUGGGGAAUAUUGGACAAUGGGCGAAAGCCUGAUCCAGCAAUGCCGCGUGAGUGAUGAAGGCCUUAGGGUUGUAAAGCUCUUUUACCCGGGAUGAUAAUGACAGUACCGGGAGAAUAAGCUCCGGCUAACUCCGUGC
rnacentral:rRNA from 1 species